GACGAAGAUGAAUAAUGCUUUAUUCUGACACCUCUUGUAUGAGAUGAAUCAAUUGAUUCAUCUUUGAGCACAUUAAGCAACUCUCUGAGUC